rnacentral:rRNA from 3 species
AAAUUGAAGAGUUUGAUCAUGGCUCAGAUUGAACGCUGGCGGCAGGCCUAACACAUGCAAGUCGAGCGGUAGCACAGAGAGCUUGCUCUCGGGUGACGAGCGGCGGACGGGUGAGUAA